UCUAAGGAGCUUCUGGUUCCACUAUUAGGUGGCAGAUGAACUUGUAGCCGAGUUUGCAGAUCCCAGUAGCAAUCUUGCAGGCCCAGACCAGGUCGUUGUAUCGGUUGACCAGUUCAUAGACUUGUCAUCUUUCAUCGCAUCAUGGGAAAUGAAUCUUAAACCUCUAACGAUAUGUUAAUUGACAGCCCCAGUUUGACGAGAAAAA
rnacentral:lncRNA from 1 species